UGCGCAGGCGGCCUGAUAAGUCAGAGGUGAAAUAUGUCGGCUCAACCGACAAACGGCCCCUGAAACUGUCAGGCUUGAGUCCGGGAGAGGUUGGUGGAAUUCCAGGUGUAGCGGUGAAAUGCGUAAAUAUCUGGAGGAACACCGGUGGCGAAGGCGGCCAACUGGCCCGGUAUUGACGCUCAGGCACGAAAGCUAGGGGAGCGAACAGGAUUAGAUACCCUGGUAGUCC
rnacentral:rRNA from 1 species